rnacentral:rRNA from 1 species
AACGAACGCUGGCGGCAGGCUUAACACAUGCAAGUCGAACGGUUGCAGCAAUGCAGCAGUGGCAGACGGGUGAGUAACACGUGGGAACCUUCCUAGGGGUACGGAACAACUCAGGGAAACUUGAGCUAAUACCGUAUACGUCCGUGAGGAGAAAGAUUUAUCGCCCUUAGACGGGCCCGCGUCGGAUUAGCUAGUUGGUGGGGUAACGGCCUACCAAGGCGACGAUCCGUAGCUGAUCUUAGAGGAUGAUCAGCCACACUGGGACUGAGACACGGGCCAGACUCCUGCGGGAGGCAGCAGUGGGGAAUCUUGGACAAUGGGCGCAAGCCUGAUCCAGCCAUGCCGCGUGAGUGAAGAAGGUCUUCGGAUUGUAAAGCUCUUUUGCCAGGGACGAUAAUGACGGUACCUGGAGAAUAAGCCCCGGCAAACUUCGUGCCAGCCGCCGCAGUAAUAC